rnacentral:rRNA from 1 species
CAUUAGGUAGACGGCGGGGUAACGGCCCACCGUGCCGACGAUGCGUAGGGGUUCUGAGAGGAAGGCCCCCCACACUGGUACUGAGACACGGACCAGACUCCUACGGGAGGCAGCAGUGAGGAAUAUUGGUCAAUGGCCGAGAGGCUGAACCAGCCAAGUCGCGUGAGGGAAGAAUGUCCUAAGGAUUGUAAACCUCUUUUGUCGGGGAGCAAAAAGGCUCUGCGGAGUCGUAUUGAGAGUACCCGAAGAAAAAGCAUCGGCUAACUCCGUGCCAGCAGCCGCGGUAAUACGGAGGAUGCGAGCGUUAUCCGGAUUUAUUGGGUUUAAAGGGUGCGCAGGCGGCGUGUCAAGCAAGCGGUAAAAUAGCGGGGCUCAACCCCGUCGAGCCGUUUGAACUGGCGCGCUUGAGUUCAGGCGAGGUAGGCGGAAUUCGUGGUGUAGCGGUGAAAUGCAUAGAUAUCACGAAGAACUCCGAUUGCGAAGGCAGCUUACCAGUCUGCGACUGACGCUCAGGCACGAAAGUGUGGGUAUCGAACAGGAUUAGAUACCCUGGUAGUCCACACAGUAAACGAUGAGCGCUAGGUGUCCGGGUCGCAUGAGACUUGG